rnacentral:rRNA from 1 species
AGGAAUAUUGGUCAAUGGGCGAGAGCCUGAACCAGCCAAGUAGCGUGAAGGAUGACUGCCCUAUGGGUUGUAAACUUCUUUUAUAAAGGAAUAAAGUCGGGUAUGGAUACCCGUUUGCAUGUACUUUAUGAAUAAGGAUCGGCUAACUCCGUGCCAGCAGCCGCGGUAAUACGGAGGAUCCGAGCGUCAUCCGGAUUUAUUGGGUUUAAAGGGAGCGUAGAUGGAUGUUUAAGUCAGUUGUGAAAGUUUGCGGCUCAACCGUAAAAUUGCAGUUGAUACUGGGUGUCUUGAGUACAGUAGAGGCAGGCGGAAUUCGUGGUGUAGCGGUGAAAUGCUUAGAUAUCACGAAGAACUCCGAUUGCGAAGGCAGCUUGCUGGACUGUAACUGACGCUGAUGCUCGAAAGUGUGGGUAUCAAACAGGAUUAGAUACCCUGGUAGUCCACACAGUAAACGAUGAAUACUCGCUGUUUGCGAUAUACAGUAAGCGGCCAAGCGAAAGCGUUAAGUAUUCCACCUGGGGAGUACGCCGGCAACGGUGAAACUCAAAGGAAUUGACGGGGGCCCGCACAAGCGGAGGAACAUGUGGUUUAAUUCGAUGAUACGCGAGGAACCUUACCCGGGCUUAAAUUGCAUUUGAAUGUUGGGGAAACCCAACAGCCGUAAGGCAAAUGUGAAGGUGCUGCAUGGUUGUCGUCAGCUCGUGCCGUGAGGUGUCGGCUUAAGUGCCAUAACGAGCGCAACCCUUAUCUUUAGUUACUAACAGGUUAUGCUGAGGACUCUAGAGAGACUGCCGUCGUAAGAUGUGAGGAAGGUGGGGAUGACGUCAAAUCAGCACGGCCCUUACGUCCGGGGCUACACACGUGUUACAAUGGGGGGUACAGCAGGCAGCUACCGGGCGACCGGAUGCCAAUCCCGAAAGCCUCUCUCAGUUCGGACUGGAGUCUGCAACCCGACUCCACGAAGCUGGAUUCGCUAGUAAUCGCGCAUCAGCCACGGCGCGGUGAAUACGUUCCCG